GUGGGGAAUAUUGGACAAUGGGCGAAAGCCUGAUCCAGCCAUGCCGCGUGUGUGAAGAAGGUCUUCGGAUUGUAAAGCACUUUAAGUUGGGAGGAAGGGCAGUAAGUUAAUACCUUGCUGUUUUGACGUUACCGACAGAAUAAGCACCGGCUAACUUCGUGCCAGCAGCCGCGGUAAUACGAAGGGUGCAAGCGUUAAUCGGAAUUACUGGGCGUAAAGCGCGCGUAGGUGGUUGUGUAAGUUGGAGGUGAAAGCCCCGGGCUCAACCUGGGAACUGCCUCCAAAACUGCAUGACUAGAGUACGGUAGAGGGUAGUGGAAUUUCCUGUGUAGCGGUGAAAUGCGUAGAUAUAGGAAGGAACACCAGUGGCGAAGGCGACUACCUGGACUGAUACUGACACUGAGGUGCGAAAGCGUGGGGAGCAAACAGGAUUAGAUACCCUAGUAGUCC
rnacentral:rRNA from 1 species